rnacentral:rRNA from 1 species
UACGUAGGGGGCAAGCGUUGUUCGGAAUUACUGGGCGUAAAGGGCGCGUAGGCGGCACAGCAAGUCGGGAGUGAAAGCCCGGGGCUCAACCCCAGAACGGCUUUCGAAACUGCUGAGCUAGAGUACAGAAGGGGCAACCGGAAUUCCCAGUGUAGCGGUGAAAUGCGUAGAUAUUGGGAAGAACACCUGAGGCGAAGGCGGGUUGCUGGGCUGAUACUGACGCUGAGGCGCGAAAGCCAGGGGAGCAAACGGG